CACUACACUAAAACGUCUACCUAACACGCCGCAGCCCAUAUUGCCACCGCUGCUCCGCAGCCUCUGGUAUACUUUCCUCGCCUUCUCUUUUCACCGUCAGCGACAGCGAAGUUCCAGGCUUCCAGGAUCAGGAGGAUGGAAGAAAAGCUCGUGAGACCAAGAAACGAUGGCGUUUUGGAUGGGAACGGCGACGAUGAUGACCUGCCUAUGCUGAGCUCUCAAGCUCUAGCGGCUCUUAGAGAGUUCAUCGAAGAACAGAACCAGUUAAAUGUUGAUGAACGCAGGGAAGAAACCGGAGCUGAAGAAACUGGCGGUAAAGUGACCUUAGUAUCCGAAGAUUGGAGGCUCAGCCAAUUCUGGUAUGACCCUUUAACCGCAGAGAC
rnacentral:misc_RNA from 1 species